ACUCGGAGCAGCGCGCGCCCCGCAAUCGCCGCAGCCGCCCCCGCCUUCGGCCGCCGCUCCCCAAGAGACUGCCCAAACUAAGCCUCCGUGGCUGGGUACGGGAGCGCUUUGGGGACAAAAAUUCUCCCUCAACUGUGGUCUGCAUUCCUUAGGCCCGUGGGCUGAUCUGGGGCGGGAAGUAUUAGCGUCUCAGUUGCGCUGCAGCCGGGGAGGAAGGAGGAGGCCGAGCCCGGGGCGGAGUUCGGGCUGACUGGGGCUGGACCGGGCAAGACGCCGCCGCUGCCCGGAUGUUGCGAUGGCUGAUCGGGGGAGGCCGAGAACCGCAGGGACUGGCCGAGAAAUCUCCUUUACAGACAAUAGGUGAAGAACAAACCCAGAAUCCCUACACUGAACUGCUAGUACUGAAGGCUCAUCAUGAUAUUGUACGAUUUCUGGUACAGUUAGAUGACUACAGAUUUGCAUCUGCUGGUGAUGAUGGAAUUGUAGUUGUGUGGAAUGCCCAGACAGGGGAAAAACUUUUAGAACUGAAUGGACACACUCAAAAGAUAACAGCUAUUAUUACAUUUCCUUCCUUGGAAUCUUGUGAAGAAAAAAAUCAACUCAUCU
rnacentral:sRNA from 1 species